GACGAACGCUGGCGGCGUGCUUAACACAUGCAAGUCGAACGGAAAGGCCCUGCUUUUGUGGGGUGCUCGAGUGGCGAACGGGUGAGUAACACGUGAGUAACCUGCCCUUGACUUUGGGAUAACUUCAGGAAACUGGGGCUAAUACCGGAUAGGAGCUCCUGCUGCAUGGUGGGGGUUGGAAAGUUUCGGCGGUUGGGGAUGGACUCGCGGCUUAUCAGCUUGUUGGUGGGGUAGUGGCUUACCAAGGCUUUGACGGGUAGCCGGCCUGAGAGGGUGACCGGGCACAUUGGGACUGAGAUACGGACCAGACUGCUACGGGGGGCAGCAGUGGGGAGUAUUGCACAAUGGGAGGGAGCCUGUUGCAGCAGCGCCGCGUGCGGGAUGACGGCCUUCGGGUUGUAAACCGCUGUCGCCUGUGACGAAGCGUGAGUGACGGUAAUGGGUAAAGAAGCACCGGCUAACUACGUG
rnacentral:rRNA from 1 species